rnacentral:lncRNA from 1 species
UUGUUCGUUUCGUUUGGAUAACCCUCUUUUUGAUGCUUCUAGGGUACUAGGAGGCUUGUGGGCACCUCCGUUCGGCGAAACGAAGGUUUCGAUUUUGGUGGGUUUGGCCUCACCUAGAUGAGAUAAACUUCUCAUAUGAGGGUUUUUAUUUAUCGUAAAGUGAAAAUGCAUACAUAUUCUUACUAGAUAGAAUAUUUGAGAAUUUUAGAAUGCUUAAAAUGUUCAUGUUAUAUACAAUGCAUAUUUGACCUCUAUAUAGUAGAGAGUUUUCAUGUUGGGCUAGGGGCCUAUGGUUAGCAUUCUUACAGUUGAUUGGGAUCAUAUUGCAUAUGGUGCAUAUGGCAUAUAGAUUACACUCUUGGACUUAGAACGCAUGCUUGACAUGGUUGGACUUAUCGACAUUAAGUGACAUAGGCUAGAGUGUAUACAAAUAGUAAGCUAAUGUCAUAAAGCGGCAUUAGGCUUGGACUAGAUAUGGACUUAGCAAGCUAAUGUCAUAAAGCGGCAUUAGACUUGAUGGAUAUGUAAAUUGCAUGUGCAUGUUAUUAUUAUGAGAAUUAUGCCAAGUUGAUAGUUGCAUUGGAAAGAACAUACAUGUAGCAAUACGAGAACACGCUAGAGAGCAUGUGUGUUAAUCUAUUAUUGAUAAAACAAGC